ACGAAAAAGGGAGAGGGGCAGCGCUAUAAGAAAAGAAAAGAGUGAAGAGAGAGAGAGGGAAGGAGAGCUGUUUGCCUAAACCCUGUUGGCUUUCCCAGUGUGCGUAUCCCAGUGUUGUUCAGUGAACUGUGCGGUGGACAGUGCCACUGUGUCUGUGUGUAGCUCUGGUUGUAUUGAACUCCGCUCCCUGCUGACCAUUGGAGAGUGAAGAGAGGCAGGAGUGGGAGGAGGAACCGAGUGCUGGACGCCCUGUCUGUGGGUUUGCCCGGCGAAGGCAAUUUUCCAUGAUAGGUUUUGCAACCAUGCUGGAAAACACAGGUGGGGCAAGAGCGGAUGCUAAAGUGAAUAAUCAGUCAGAAACUACUAAAUGUGCAAUGGAAAGUGGUGACGGGAACACCGGAAUCCAAAUCAAUGGGUUUGACUUUCAGAGGCAGAUGGUGCCAACCACCAGUACAAUCACUAAUGCACAUGCACAAGCCCUCCUCCAACAGGCUGCAGCACAUUUAAAUACCCAAUUUCUCACUUCCUUUUUAAUUCAAAUCCCUCUCUCUGCUCAAAGACUAAAGGCUCAUUCUCAAAAUUCUGCUCAGUCUAAGUCGGAAGACUCGAGUGCUCUUCCGACCUCCGUCCAGCAGAGCGUAUUGCCUCAAACCCAGCUAAUGUUGGCCGGGGGACAGAUUGCAGGAUUGACCCUGACCCCAGCGCAGCAGCAGAUGUUGAUCCAGCAGGCCCAAGCUCAACUCCUGGCUGCAGCCGUGCAGCAUUCAGCUAACCAGCAGAACAACACCACUGGGGCCAGCAUCUCGGCCUCCGCAGCCACACCCAUUACCCAGCUGCCCCUGUCACAGCCCAUCCAGAUCGCUUCUCAGCUACAGCAGCAGAAUUUAAGUCUGCCUCAGUUUGUUCUGGUGCAGCCUGGCCACCCGAUCGCCACACAACUGCAGCCCGCUCAGUUCAUCAUCUCACAGACACCGCAUGGCCAACAGGGCAUAUUGCAAGCCCAGAGUCUUCUAACUCAACUACCUCAAAGCCAAGCUAACCUCCUGCCGACUCAACCAUGCAUCACCCUUGCAACUCAGCCUGCCACUCCAACCCGCACAACAGCAGCCACACCUAUUCAGUCCCUGUCCCACAGUCAGACACCACCCAAACGGUUGGAUACCCCCACUAUGGAGGAGCCUAGCGAUCUGGAGGAACUGGAACAAUUUGCCAAGACCUUCAAACAGAGGCGUAUCAAACUGGGCUUCACGCAGGGCGAUGUUGGCCUGGCCAUGGGGAAGCUGUAUGGAAACGACUUCAGCCAAACUACCAUCUCUCGCUUUGAGGCCUUGAAUCUGAGCUUUAAGAACAUGUGCAAACUCAAGCCAUUGCUGGAGAAGUGGCUCAACGAUGCAGUUUGUGCAGAGAACCUGACAUCUGACCAGGCCCUGUCCAGCCCCAGUGCCCUGUGCUCCCCAGGCAUGGGCAUAGAGGGGAUCAACCGCAGACGGAAGAAGAGGACCAGUAUUGAGACCAACAUCCGAGUGGCCUUAGAAAAAAGCUUUCUGGAGCAGAACCAAAAACCUACCUCUGAAGAGAUCACCAUGAUCGCUGACCAGCUCAACAUGGAGAAGGAGGUGAUUCGGGUCUGGUUCUGCAAUCGCCGACAGAAAGAGAAGAGGAUUAACCCCCCCAGCAGCUGCAACAGUGGAGGAGGCGGCACCCCCAUCAAAACCAUCUUUACCCCCAGUAGCCCUUUGGUGGCCAGCACAGCAAGCCUUGUGAGCAGUCCAACUAUUAACACACCCACCACUCUGACUGUAAACCCAGUGAUGCCUCUCACCAGCACCAGUGUCUCCGGUUUGUCUUUCACAGGCACGACAGUUGGAGGCACAAACACUGCGUCCGUCAUAUCCACUGCACCUAUGAUUACUAUGGCCUGCUCUCCAUCUUUGAGCCCGUCGCCAACGACUAUUCACUCUUCGACAGAAAGCAAGGCGCAAACCAUCGUCACCCAGGCACCGACAUCCAUCGCCACCACUUUAGGGACGGGUCAGCUGAUGGUGACGCCGUCAGGGCUGUCUGCGGCGCUGCAGGGGGCCCAGUUACCCAGCGGCUUUGCUGCUAUGGCUGCUGCUGCUGCUGGGCUCAACCCAGGACUGAUGUCCUCCCAGUUUGCUCCGGGGGGGGCCCUGCUCAGUCUGACUUCUGGUGGCCUUGGUAGUCCUGCCUUCAUGAGCAACAACACCUUGGCUACCAUCCAAGGUGUGUAUCAAUCUCUGGCAUCGGGCGGCACGAUCCCCAUCACUUCUCUGGAUGGCGGCAACCUGCUGUUCGCUAACACUUCUGCUGGUAACACGCCCAACCUGGUGACCACACCGCUCUUCCUGAACCCCCAGAACCUGUCGCUGCUCACCAGUAACCCCGUCAGCUUGGUGUCGGCCGGGGCGGGGGGGCUGCAGGUCACUGCUGAUGCUCAUCAUCAAACAACCAAGGCUACUGUGCCUGUGCAAGCUUCGACCAUUACCACUGCCUCCAAGGCUCAAUGAAGCCAGUCAGGCUGCAUCCUGAAUUAACGCCCUAUUUCUUAUGUCGUGCACUACUCCUUUCACACCAUGUAAGGAAUAGGGAGGUCGUUUGAUAUAGGCUCUGCGCUUCACUAACCACCCCACAUUCUUUCUAUUGUAUCUAUUAUUAUUUAAUCCUUUUGCUGCCACCAAAAAGAAAACAACCUCAAAUGAGGUUGAGGUUGACUUUUUAUUUUUUAGUGUUUCCUGUUUUUUCCUUUAUGAUUCUUGGAUGUUUAUUUUCCCACAAACAGUAGCCCGAUGGACACUGCUGUUGGCCUGCCGCUCCUCAUGAACCUUGAAAAGCGUCCAGGAAGAAAAAUAUCCUCGGCACCAUCAAGAUAUUCACAUUUUGUAGAUGUGUGUAUAUAUAUAUAUAUAUAUAUAUAUAUAUAUAUAUAUAUAUAUAUAUAUCUCCUCCUAUUUCCAGGUCAGAAUUUUCUGAAAAAACUGCUAAACUACUUCUAACCAAAAACUUUAAGAUUUUGCUCUUUUAACAUUCAAACUAAACUGAUUUACUACUAAUUUCACAAUAUUCAUUAUCACUAAUGGGGAUUUGUGUGUCACCCCAUCUUUAAUUAUCUCUUUUGGGUUUUUUUGGACAGGCCUUGGCGUAAAUCAUAUCAAAGUUAAAUUGUAGAGACUUUUCUUCUUUACCUUUGCUGUCUAUUUUUGUUGUUGUUGACAUUUUCAGAACUUUGUAAGUCUAAUAUUAAGUUAAGAUUCAACUAUCAACUUUUAAUCGUGGUUAUAAGGCUUUAAAAACAAGUAAUAAGUGGUCGAUAUAAAGGUUAUCAUUGCUUUAAGGGUCAGAGGGACAAGAUGCGUCUCUCUGAGUCUCUCUUUCUGGAAACACUGAGUUUUACAUUUUGCUGCGGGGGCAGACUAGCCCCCAAGCUUUUGUAAAAUGACGUUCUCGCUGCGGAUUCUAGACACUGAUAGAAAAUGACUGAAACAUUGUGUUGAGAGCUUUAUAAAGAGUCAUGCAGUCCCGUGUCUGAUAAAGAGUGAUUUGUUUUGGAUGGUGGUCCAUUGGAAAAGUGUACAUUAUGCUUGGGUUCAGAGUUAGAAACUAGAGGUCUGCAUGUGUUGUCUACAGCUCAGGCAGAUGCUGAGAGUUCAGUAACUGCAUGAUCCACAAGGCUCAGUGGCUGACUGGUCUGUUUGGGGAAGACUAGUCAGGGGGCAUGGUGAUCAUACCAAAUGUAUGGCGGCAUUGGCUAGAUGGGGUUAUUGUAUUGUGUUUUUGUUUUAUUUCUUUUAAUAGUAGUACCGUCGUAUCUACUUGUGCACAGUAUCUGUACCAAAAAAAACUGGAUUGAUGAGCUGCAGUCUGCCUGUUUUGGGAGGAAUGAAAUUCUGUCUUUUUUUUGUGUCUGCAGUCAUUCGACUGGCUUACGUACUUUAAGAUAUACCAAAAAUAUUUGUUAAAAUAAUUGCUGUGUGUAGCCGGUGUAGCUUAGUCUAGUCAAUAUAUUUAUGAGUACAGAAUCUCUUGUCAUUGUCAACAGAAUAUAGAAAUGCAAUAUUUUGAUGAUCAUUUUCCAAAGAUGACCUCUUUUUUUUUUAUUUGACAAAAGUGUCUCAUCGCUCAACUUUUUAAUUGGCAGCACAACUGACCAAAAAGAGAGGGAUCGGUGGGUUGGGGCAUGAGAAAGUAGUUUCCUUUUACUCUUUUUUUUUUAAAUUGGUUUUUAUUGCCGGGGCCUUUUCCCUAACGACUGAUCCAUGUGAUCUUUCAGCCAUUUGAUGGCUUUGUUUUCCUUUUCAUCUGUUUUGAACAUUUUGGUAGCAGUUUUGGACUUUUCUGAAGCAACAUGGAAAGGUUCUGUUUUUGGUUUUGUACUAAUGAUCAGCCAUAAAACAACAGCUUGAACCAAAGUGGUUUUCCUCAGUAGUUUCUGUGCCUGUUCGAGCACUCAAGUUGCCAUUCUGACGAUCUUUACUCUCCACACUGCUGACAAAUUAUGUUCCUCUUCUCCCACCUCGGUCAAUACCCGAUAUUCCUGAUUUGGUGCUGCUGGAUAAGGAUCACAGAAACCUAGCUUUAACAACUUGCUGCUGAAACUCUUGGUGGUGUUGAGCUGUUGAGAGCCCUGCAUGCUUUCCUAUAGCUUUAUGACUACACUCUGUGAAAGUCAGGUUUUGUGGUUUCGACCCUCCCGUCUGAAGGGCUCACUUAUGUAAAUGCAUAGAUCGGAUCAUCAGAUAACAUACACCUCCUAUCAGCACCGCCAUUUUUGAACCAGCACGCUAUGAAACAGUAUGCUGCUUCCUAAAAAGUCUGUGGACUAGUUUCAAAACCUGCCAAAGUAUCUUACUCAACACAGUGUUGGGCUAAGUACUGUGCUACACAUUCAACUAAACCCCACGUAAAAAAGUAGAAUUGUUCUGCUGCUUAAAAAUAACAAAUUUAAAAUACCACGGUGAUGUUUAGAUCACUGAGGCUGUUAGCAGUGAAAUCUGUCCAUGUUAUCCUCUUGUGUACUUCUUUUCUGUUUGAAUUAUUUUGACUGAAUAUACCUCAGCAGCACUUAAACAUAAGGUUCACCUUUAGGCAUUUCUGUGUAUAGAACAGUGUAGAAUGUAUAAGAACUGUCUGGCUUGCCAUUCAAAUUUUAUACUGAUGAACCAUACAUAGGAACCAUACAUAAAAGGACAACCUACUACUGCUAUUUUCUAGUACUACUAUUUAUGGGGUAUUUCCAGGUUUAAAUAUUAUUUUGAGAUCCUUCUUGCCAAAGUAAAAGCCUUUCUCUUUGCAGCUAGGCGGGUGUCUGUCUGCUCACGUUUGCUGGUUUCCCCGUCUUUAAGGCCACAACGGGCCUAUCGGACUCAGUCCUGUUCCAGUGCUAUUUGUAGUUACUAAAGAGUUGAACAUGUGCUAGCAAGAUGAACCAGUUGCCAUUGGCACCAUAGGAUGUUACUGAAAUAUUUAUCUGAGGAAAGACUUAAGAAUUAGAGAAACGAUCUUUUCUUAAUUCUAUACAUAUAAAUAUAUAUAUAAACACGUGUAAGAUAUUCAUAUUUUAUAUUUGAACCAGUAUGUUAUCAAGAUUGAAUGUAGUGUUUAUCAUGCUUACUUGGAAAAAAAAGAAAAAUCUCCCCUAAAUCUUCCUUUUUAUUAUUGCAAAAAAGCAAAUUUUCUUUGAGAACUGACAAGACCAAAAAAUAAGAGAAGAAAUCUGAGACCACGCCUCGGUGGUGCGUAAGUUGCUGACACCUGCGUCUGUCGUGUAUCUGCGAGGUCUUUUCAACAGGAAGUUUUUGUUUAGGCGCUCCUGACUCUGAAGUAUCUGAUCUUAGUCUUUGAAUACAUUGUUAUUGUUUUAUUUUGGUUGAGUCAUUGUGGACUUGAUUUGUUGUGCUGUCUUUAACAAUCAUUUUUUUUUUUAUAUAUACUUUAUGCCUUUAAUUGUUUUGUAUAGUGUGAGAGGGCAAGAUCACUGGCUUUCUUAGUUUGACAAAGAAGAUUAACAUUAUCAUUUAUGCCUUAUUGUUACGUAGAAGACAUGAGCAUUGUAGCAUUGUUGUGCGUGUGAGAGAGCUUGAGCGUUGAGCUCACCUGGUGCAUUGUUUUCACUGAAACAAAAUGGUGUACUUUGGGCAUUUUGGAGCGUGGGAUGAUUAUGUUGCUACCUGUUUUUUAGGUGCGACUCAGACAGGUUGAGGAUACCUGUGAGAAAAGCUUUACUAAUAAUUCCAGCAGGUGGAUGUGUGCGUGUUUGUGUCUUAUAAAGAGAGAAUAGGGAGGGCAGUCUGCAAACCAUUAUGGUGCAUUUUUUUCCAUCUUCUGGCAGGUGUUUGAGAGUGAGUUUUAAAAGAAAUGGUGAGACAUGAGAGUACUAAUUUUUGUUUUUGUCCAGAGGGGGGUCUCUGCUGAUUAGCUGAAGCCUUAAAGCGAGCCCGUUUAUGGUUUAUAAAGGAAAAAACUACCGUUUUUUGUGGUCAUAGUUUGACUAUUUCAUCUCUACUAAUUAUCUUAAUAUACUUUCAACUGACAGUCUUUUUGCGACUGGCUUUGCUUUAAUGCUUUAGUUUCAUUAUGUGAUCCCCUAGAUUUCAAGAUGCUCUUGUGGAUCAGCCAAGCAUCGAGUUGUAGUUUGUCGAUCCACCACACUGGUUUGCCGGUUGUUAACGUUGACAAAGGAAGUGUAGAGCACCAGCUAAGGCAAAAGGAGCUGUUGUAUACCUCAUUUCUAACUCAAGACUGAGUGAAACCUGCUUUAAUCUACUUACAAAAUAAAAAAAAUAAAAAUGUUUAAAAAAAAAAAAAUCACAAAAAAAAAAGAAGAUGAAAAUACACAAACUUGUGUCAGUGGAGAAGCCCGUUCAUACCUGUACUUAGUGAAGGGUUGUAGUAAAAGCCACCACAAGGGGGGGUACAGAAUACAUACCAGUUCUCAUGAAUGUCUGCUGUUUUUUUUUCUUUAACAAUUUGGUGUUUUUAUGCUGCACACUGAUGUAUUUUUCAGCAUCGGAUAGAAAUGAUCUGUUGUAACUUGAGAUUUAAAUUUAUUUUAGUGUAUUGUAUUCCAUUACUGUCUGUUAUACGAAUAGACGACCCCUCCAUGUUUGAACACUUUUAAGUUUGACAAUCCUGUUUUUUUUUUGAGUUUUGUUUUCACACUGACCGAGCACAGGUAUGUACAUGUCUUACCACAUGACGGUGUGCUGUUGCAGCCCGCUCUCGCUUUCCUGUGGUACCAACAUUAACCAAAGACUUCUAACUUGAUUGUAUAUGAACGACACCCCUCUCUCGGCCCAUCCCUGCCUCACUGCUCAGCAUCAAAUCCCGGCUGCACGCCCUCACCCAAGUCCUCAAUUCAUCUGAGUUUGCUUUUUAUUGCAUGUGAAUGUAUCCCGCCCCGGAAACACUCCGGCGUCCUGUCAGUGCGGCGGUUACAGUGCCUGUGGGCGGGGAUCGGAGGGGGGGGAGGGGGGUUGAACAGGGGCUGAGCGGGCUUCUCCGACAGACACGAACGAAUCUGGUGGUAGCUGGGUGAUGUUUGUUAAUACACACUGAGGGUAAAUCCUGUGCACACUGUACAUGCUCAGGACUCUGUAUGUUUUGUCUGUCUUGAGCGCUGUAGGAUGUUUCCCCUCCACUAUUUCUCUCUCCCUCUCUCUCAAGGACUGUGUUGAAAAAUGCUGAUCCUGCCUCUCACAGUGUCUCUGUAUCUUCCUCAUCACCUGUACACUGUAUAGUCCCAGGACAUUUACCCUGUUGUCUCCAGGAAUACACAUCCUGCGGUUGCUAAAACUCACUGCUGUGUCCCUCCUCCUCCUCUUCCUCCCUUUCCCCCUACUCUGCUCUCUCCUUUGACAUCGUCUCUUCACUACAGACUCUGAUCAGUUGUGACACUAUGCAUCAUGGUCCUUCACUCUGCAUGGACUGUGUCCCUCCGGCUUAGACCUCUGGCCGACGGGCUUCAGUGACACUUUGUUUAAUGCUUUACUCCAUGUGAGGUUGUAGGACCUCACAAGCUCUAUCCCAAAGCAAAAAUCCAAAUAUUUAACUUUUGACAAAUGCAGAUACCAAAGAUAUCUCUCUGUCCUGUGUCUUUCUCUGUGUUUCUCUCCCUUCCACCCUGCAGCAUGUGUAUUAAGAGACAAACCCAGCACUGGCUUUAUUCCUAGCCUCAGUAAUUCCAAAGCUUAGAUGUAUAUUUUGGUAUAUUUCUGAGAAAAACUUUGCGUCUGUUUCUUGUUUGUUUGUUGUAAUCUUUUUUCUGUCACAGCAUGGAACUUAUUGCAGAACUGUCUUACUCUUGGUAGGUUAAAGAUAUAGUAUUUUUGUAUGUUUUUGGGUGUGUUGUGUGUGAUUAUCAGUUCACAGCCCAAGUGACCAUGGCUUUCACCAAGAGGAAAAAUGAGGAAAAAAAGAAGAAAAAAAAGCCAACCAUGUACAUAUUACUUCUGUGUAUCUCAAAACUGCAUUCUUUAAGACAUUUACUACUCGUGUUGGAAAGCUUGGGCUCAUCUAAAGGAAUGUGUCCACGAUGUAUUUCCCUUUUUCUUAUUUUGCAGCCUGAAAAUAAUUGUCUUUCCAGGACUCUAAUGUAAAAAGCCCUGAUUUCCAUCAUGGACAACAACACUGAGGGACACUGCCCCGAUCUGACUACAAGGACAAAAAAAAAAA